UACGGAGGGUGCAAGCGUUAUCCGGAUUCACUGGGUUUAAAGGGUGCGUAGGAGGGCAGGUAAUCCGUGGUGAAAUCUCCAAGCUUAACUUGGAAACUGCCAUGGAUACUAUCUGUCUUGAAUAUUGUGGAGGUGAGCGGAAUAUGUCAUGUAGCGGUGAAAUGCUUAGAUAUGACAUAGAACACCAAUUGCGAAGGCAGCUGGCUACACAAAUAUUGACACUGAGGCACGAAAGCGUGGGGGAUCAAACAGG
rnacentral:rRNA from 1 species